UUNCGUUUACAAAUCAGCUACAAAUAGAGUGAAGACAUUUCGAUUCCCGCCGCUCGCCUGCUUCACUCCCGGGCGCAGUCGAGGUGGUUCAUCGUCGUAAUCAACAUUGUCGGAACCCUAGGAAGUGGCUGCCACCGCACUGUGUGGUCGAACGUCGUCGAGGUUGCAGUUCCUCAACAGCCGAAGAACGCGUGCCAUCGCGGGAAUCUAGUCAUGAAUCGCGAGGAGGGCUGUGAGGAUUGACCGGUUCGGUCUAUGUGAAAUCCGGUCCGGUUUGGUGGUAUGUAAAGUUAAACCUGUCGGUCCGGUUCAAUUAAACCAGUUUGGUCUGCUCGAUCCCUUAUAUAAAGCUAGAAUUUAAUAGAUUUAGCUUACUUAGAAUUUACCAUUUACCAAGAGGAGAUUGUAUAGAUUUGUGCUUGUAAACUAAGGUAAGGAUAUUAAUUGACAUGUUAUAAUAUAAAUUUAUUAUAUGAUCGG